rnacentral:ncRNA from 1 species
UCCAGGUGCCCCCAGGGGCCCAACAGGGAAGCCGGUGGGAAACCGGAACUGUGCCCGCAGCUGUGUCAUCCGUUAUCGGCUCCACGAAUUGCCAUUGGGAAUCUCCCCGAGAAGGCCGGAGCCGGGAGAAGUCAGAAGACCUGCCUGAAUC